AUAAAUGAUGAUAGUUUGACGGUCUAAUGAUAUCAAUGAAAAUCAAUUCACCUGAAC
rnacentral:snRNA from 1 species